rnacentral:lncRNA from 1 species
UUUUAUCACAUAUAUUAGCUUGGAAAACCAAAGAAAGAUAGAGUAGUACCGCUUGUGAAUCAAUCAGACUUGCGAUAAUUUCUGUCUAUUAGCAUAUUUAUCUAAUCUUUUAAUAUAUUUAUUAUAGCAUCCAAACAUUAACAAUUGCAUAUGCCUCUGAAAAUAUCAGUACAUAUAAGAUACCCACAUAAUAUCCCAAAACUUUACUAUAAUAUACCCAAUUAUAACUACUAUAUUCAAAUAUUUUUGCAAUUUAUUCACCAAUCUAUUGACUAGUAUAGUCAUCAAUAAUUUCACAUCAUUCAGUUCACUCAAGAAAUUAAUUUGGAAGGAAUUUUCAGUUAACUAUUCUGUAAAUACCAUAUUUGAACAAAUCGAUUUUCCUAUAAAUAACUUAUUUAUUUAACAGUGGUACUGUAUAUCCCAGCUAGUUUUCAG